UAAACAUUGAUAAAUUAUUACAGCUUCAAUUCGCCCGGGUACUACAAGCACUAGCUUAAAACCCAAAGGACUUGGCGGUGCUUAAGAUCCCCCUAGAGGAGCCUGUUCUAGAACCGAUAAUCCACGUUUAACCUCACCCUCUCUUGUUUUUCCCGCCUAUAUACCGCCGUCGUCAGCUUACCCUGUGAAGGUCCAAUAGUGAGCAAAAAUGGCACAGCCCAAAACGUCAGGUCGAGGUGUAGCGCAUGAGAGGGGAAGAAAUGGGCUACAUUCUCUAAAAAUAGAAGCACACGGAUAAUAUAUUGAAACAUAUAUUUUAAGGAGGAUUUAGUAGUAAGUAGAAAUUAGAAUAUUCCACUGAACCCGGCUCUAAAGCGCGCACACACCGCCCGUCACUCUCCCCGAGUCUAAAAAUUUUUCAUUUAAUAAUAAACACCACCAGCAAAGGGGAGGCAAGUCGUAACAUGGUAAGUGUACGGAAGGUGUACCUUGGAUAAAU
rnacentral:rRNA from 1 species